rnacentral:lncRNA from 1 species
UGGGACCGAACAGCAGCAGCUAACCUGCCCCUUUUCUUUUCUUGGCACACUGAAACGAAGGAGUACAAGUGCUAAAUAUAGGCCAGGGAGUCUCCGCCUCCAUGCAGGCCGGCCUUCACGCCAUCAUCUGCACGUCCUGCUCAGCGACGCCGGAGAGCCGUUCGCUCAUCCCGGACGUUGCGGCAAACCCCGUGAGAACCGGCGCCACGCACGCACACUACUCCUACACACACCCUGGCAGAACAUGCAAGUACAUGCACCACCUCCCUUGCGACCCGGACAAGCUCGGACGUGAGCCAAUCUGCUCAUCCGUGCAGGCUGUCCACGCACGGAGCUCGGGAUGCAUCUGCACACGCUGCCGUUACAACGACUAAAACACACACACACGCACAAGACAGUCCUCGUGCGUGGUUUAUUCCAACAAUCACCCCCUAAACUACGACGCGGGGAUGUCCGCCUUUCACAGGAGCGUCGGCUCGUCGUCAGCGUCGACGACGAGAAGGGCCUUCUCUUUCUUCUUUGCACGGCAGUCCUUGGCCAUGUGUCCUCGGUCGCCACAGUCGAAGCAUCGCCCACGGUAGCGGCUCCUAGCGCGUAUGGAGCUCGGGCUGUCGCUAUCGUCGUCGGAGUCGUCGUGGCCGUCGCUACAGCCACCUCCUUUCUCGCGGCCACCACGUCGUCGAUCACCCCCGUGCGCACGAUUCUUGCUGCGCCGACGCGCCUGCCACUGCUCCUCAGUGAGAAGCAGGCGCCCAAGCUCAUCUGUCGUCUCCUCCAGGCAGAAGCGGUUCUCCGCCACACGGAGCCGCCCGACGAGCUCCUCCAGCGGCAUUGUCUUGAGGUCGCACAGCAUCUCGAUGGACGCCGCGACUUGAUUGAACUUCGGUGGAACAACGCGAAGUAGUUUCCGCACGACGCGUACCUCCUCCACCUCCUCGCCGAGCUCGCGCAUCUCCGAGACGAGGGAGCUCAGUCUCAUGGCGAAGUCGUCCACCUUCUCGCCUUCCUUGAACUUGAUAUUCUCGAAGACCUUGAGCAGCCUUUCGGCGUUGGCCUCCCGAACACGCGCAUCUCCCAUGCGCAUGCUUCUCACAGCCGCCCACGCCUCCUUUGCGCUCUUCUUCACAGCAAGCCCCGCCUUCAUCUCCGGCGGCACUGCGCGCAGGAUGGCAGCCAACGCCCUCCGAUCCUUGGCACGCUCCCUGCACACGGCCUCUACCGCGUCCCACAGCUCCAUCGCCUCCAGCGAAACCUGCAUGACCAACGCCCACUCGUGGUAAUUCGCCUUGGUCAGCAGCGGGAGCUCGACGGAGUUGGUGUUGACGACGCGCUCCGCCGCGGCGCUCGACGAGCCCACGCCGGUGAGCUCGCCCAAUCCCGGCGUCCUCGGUGUGGCCGACAUCUCCCCCCACCACCCCGGCUCUGGUACCAAAUGUUGGCUUCGUCCAGGAACUCUCACACUCAGCUCAUGCACGAACGUAAGGAGGAAGAUGAAUAUUGUUUUCUGGGACCGAACAGCAGCAGCUAACCUGCCCCUUUUCUUUUCUUGGCACACUGAAACGAAGGAGUACAAGUGCUAAAUAUAGGCCAGGGAGUCUCCGCCUCCAUGCAGGCCGGCCUUCACGCCAUCAUCUGCACGUCCUGCUCAGCGACGCCGGAGAGCCGUUCGCUCAUCCCGGACGUUGCGGCAAACCCCGUGAGAACCGGCGCCACGCACGCACACUACUCCUACACACACCCUGGCAGAACAUGCAAGUACAUGCACCACCUCCCUUGCGACCCGGACAAGCUCGGACGUGAGCCAAUCUGCUCAUCCGUGCAGGCUGUCCACGCACGGAGCUCGGGAUGCAUCUGCACACGCUGCCGUUACAACGACUAAAACACACACACGCACAAGACAGUCCUCGUGCGUGGUUUAUUCCAACAACCAUGACUAUCAAUUGUUUUUCCCAGCUGG